UUACGGCUAUAUCACUUUGAAACACCGUUUCUCGUAAGAUCACCGAAGUUAAGCACCGUUAAACCUAGUCAGUACCUAGAUGGGUUACCGCUGAAGAAUACCAGGUGCUGUAAG